GACGAACGCUGGCGACGUGCUUAACACAUGCAAGUCGAGCGGUAAGGCCCUUUCGGGGGUACACGAGCGGCGAACGGGUGAGUAACACGUGGGUGACCUGCCCUCAGCUCUGGGAUAAGCCUGGGAAACCGGGUCUAAUACUGGAUAUGACUCCAUGACGCAUGUUGUGGGGUGGAAAGCCUUGUGCGGCUGAGGAUGGGCCCGCGGCCUAUCAGCUUGUUGGUGGGGUGAUGGCCUACCAAGGCGACGACGGGUAGCCGGCCUGAGAGGGCGACCGGCCACACUGGGACUGAGACACGGCCCAGACUCCUACGGGAGGGCAGCAGUGGGGAAUCUUGCGCAAUGGGCGAAAGCCUGACGCAGCGACGCCGCGUGAGGGAUGACGGCCU
rnacentral:rRNA from 1 species